rnacentral:rRNA from 1 species
CGGACGGGUGAGUAAUGUCUGGGAAACUGCCUGAUGGAGGGGGAUAACUACUGGAAACGGUAGCUAAUACCGCAUAGCGUCGCAAGACCAAAGAGGGGGACCUUAGGGCCUCUUGCCAUCGGAUGUGCCCGGAUGGGAUUAGCUAGUAGGUGGGGUAACGGCUCACCUAGGCGACGAUCCCUAGCUGGUCUGAGAGGAUGACCAGCCACACUGGAACUGAGACACGGUCCAG